GGAGGGUGCAAGCGUUGUUCGGAAUUACUGGGCGUAAAGAGCGUGUAGGCGGUUUGGCAAGUCAGAUGUGAAAGCCCUGGGCUCAACCCAGGAAGUGCAUUUGAAACUGCCAUUCUAGAGUAUGGGAGAGGAGAGUGGAAUUCCCGGUGUAGAGGUGAAAUUCGUAGAUAUUGGGAGGAACACCCGUGGCGAAGGCGACUCUCUGGACCAAUACUGACGCUGAGACGCGAAAGCGUGGGGAGCAAACAGGGAUUAGAUACCCUGGUAGUCCACGCCGUAAACGAUGAGAACUAGGUGUAGCGGGUAUUGACCCCCCCUGCUGUGCCGUAGCUAACGCAUUAAGUUCUCGCCUGGGGAGUACGGUCGCAAGGCUA
rnacentral:rRNA from 1 species